ensembl:piRNA 21ur-2410 ncRNA
UUAACUCGUAUUGGUUUUUGG